rnacentral:lncRNA from 1 species
ACAAUAGAGAGGGAGAAAUUCUUAGUGCAACUCUGGCAAACAAAAAGAGAAAAGGUAAACCAAUGGCCAAAAUCGGUAAGAAUGGAGCAGAAAAAGAAACUUUGGCAGACGUUCAGCAGAGCUGGGGGAGAAGAAACAACAGAAUGAUAGAGAAACUUUGGGAAUCUGAAAAUAAAAAAAUAAGAAAAAUAAAGAUAAAAUUAAAUUAAAUUAAAAAUAAAUUCAGCCCCAUUAUCCCCAAAUCCAUAAAAUUUCUCCUAAAACCAUCCAACCACUCCCACUAUUCAAAUCCCUAAAUUUUCUCUCCACACUUCCCAGUACACCUCUACCACUUCGGCAUUUUAGUUCAGUUCAAACACUUCACGGCACCACUAGCAAAAAUAAAUCCCUCGUUUGCGCAAGGACUCAAACUCCAGACUUCCAGGUUAUUUACACUCCACUGAACCACCAGACCAACAAGUCCAUUCUGACAUAUUUUACCACAUUUAAUUAUAAGUCUACUGACUAGUGAUAGGGCUUUGUUCAGAAAAAUAU